rnacentral:rRNA from 1 species
GACGAACGCUGGCGGCGUGCUUAACACAUGCAAGUCGAACGGAAAGGCCCUGCUUGCGUGGUACUCUCGUGUGGCGAGCGGGAGUGACACACGGGAGUAACCUGCCCUUGUCUUUGGGAUACCUUCAGGAAACUGGGGCAAAUACCGGAUAGGACCUCCUGCUGCAUAGUGGGGGAUGGAAAGUUUGGGCGGUUGGGGAUGGACUCGCGGCUUAUCAGCUUGUUGGGGGGGUAUGGGCUUACCAAGGCUUUGAUGGGUAGCCGGCCUGGGAGGGUGACCGGCCACAUUGGGACGGGGAUAGGGCCCGGACUCCUAGGGGGGGCAGAGGGGGGGAAUAUUGCAAAAUGGGCGGAAGCCGGAGGCAGCAACGCCGCGUGCGGGAGGACGGCCUUCGGUUUGUAACCCGUUUCCGCCUGUAACGAAGCGUUUGUGACGGUAAUUAGUAAAGAAGCACCGGCUAACUACGUG